AUUGAACGCUGGCGGCAUGCCUUACACAUGCAAGUCGAACGGCAGCGCGGACUUCGGUCUGGCGGCGAGUGGCGAACGGGUGAGUAAUACAUCGGAACGUACCCUGUUGUGGGGGAUAACUAGUCGAAAGAUUAGCUAAUACCGCAUACGACCUGAGGGUGAAAGUGGGGGACCGCAAGGCCUCACGCAGAAGGAGCGGCCGAUGUCUGAUUAGCUAGUUGGUGGGGUAAAGGCUCACUAAGGCGACGAUCAGUAGCUGGUCUGAGAGGACGAUCAGCCACACUGGGACUGAGACACGGCCCAGACUCCUACGGGAGGCAUCAGUGGGGAAUUUUGGACAAUGGGGGCAACCCUGAUCCAGCAAUGCCGCGUGUGUGAAGAAGGCCUUCGGGUUGUAAAGCACUUUUGUCCGGAAAGAAAUCGCGCUGGUUAAUACCUGGCGUGGAUGACGGUACCGGAAGAAUAAGCACCGGCUAACUACGUGCCAGCAGCCGCCGUAA
rnacentral:rRNA from 1 species